UUCAUCACCUUACAACAUGUUCAGAAAUAUUCUAGACAUGAACGCUAAUUUCGGUGGCUUUAACUGUGCAUUAUUGCAAGCAAGAAAGUCUGUGUGGGACUGGAACCGGGAAGACACUAGAAUUUGGAAUUCCAAUUAUCAAGGGUCUCAUUGAGAAUGGACAAAGCACUAUGAGUGGUGUUUAUCAUCAUAUUCAGAGGAAUGCGCUUUUGCGUGGGGUUGAUGUUGUGGUCGGAACACCUGGGAGACUGAUUGACCUGAUAAAUGAGAAAAACCUUAAACUUAGUGAAAUUCAGUAUUUGGUACUUGAUGAGGCCUAUCAGAUGCUUGCUGUUGGGUUUGAGAAGGAUGUGGAAGUGAUUUUAGAAAAGAUUCAGCUCAGUUGCAGAUCAUGCUUUUCUCUGCGACCAUGUCGGGUUGGGUCAAGAAGUUGUCAAGAAAACAUUUGAACAAUCCGUUGACUAUUGAUUUGGUCGGGGAUAGAGAAGAAAAGCUUGCUGAAGGGAUCAAACUUUAUGCUGUAUCACCCACUGCAUCAUCAAAAUGGAGAAUUCUUUAUGGUCUUAUAAAUGAUCACAGGCUCCCACUCCGGCUAGCUAUGAAGUAUCUGAUUUUAUGAUACAAGUGCUGCUGAUUUUGAUUGGGGUGGUUCAGCUACUGAUGGUAUUAGCUUGCAGCUUUGUUUGGAUGCCUGCAUAUCUCUGAUCUGGUUUGAUGUCGACUUUCAGAAGCUGUUCCGGUGUCUGCAGGCCUUAAGGCUGUUUCGGCGUUCUUGUGUUUCAUUAUACAUCUUGUGGUUGCUAUACAGUAUUUGAUGUGCUCAGUAGUGGAAUGUGUAAACUUGCUAUUUUGUUUAGUAUGAUCAGGGUGGGUGGGUAGCAGCGUGUAUACUAUUGUUCUGUCGUCUGUAUGAACAGGGUGAGUGGGUAGGAGUUUUGUUCAA